UCCGUGACCCGCCCACCGCAUCCACCACGCACCCCACCACGCCUCCCGCACCGCCUCUGGGAGCCCAGCUGAUGCGCAGUGACCGACGGGGACCCACCUCCCCAACCGGGGAGCUCUGACCUACAGAGAAUAGGCGCCACUCUCCUGCCUCGGGGAGAAGGUUUGGAAGAAGGGCAGGACCUGAGAGGCAGCCAGCGUGUCCUCUUGCAGCAGCAGGACAUGAAAGCAGGCGAAGAGAGGACAUGGACUUUGACCCUGUCAAUAAACUCGUACAA